rnacentral:tRNA from 1 species
GAUAAGAUGGCUGACAAAGGCGAUAAAUUGUAAAUUUAUUGAUGAAGUUAAUAACUUCUUUUAUUA